rfam:Pteropus alecto contig13345, whole genome shotgun sequence.
GUCUACGGCCAUGCCACCCUGAACGUGCCAGAUCUCGUCCGAUCUCGGAAGCUAAGCAGGGUCGGGCUGCCAUCGGUG